rnacentral:rRNA from 1 species
UACGAAGGGGGCUAGCGUUGUUCGGAAUCACUGGGCGUAAAGGGCGCGUAGGCGGCUUUUCAAGUCGGGGGUGAAAGCCUGUGGCUCAACCACAGAAUGCCUUCGAUACUGUUAGGCUUGAGACCGGAAGAGGUGAGUGGAACUGCGAGUGUAGAGGUGAAAUCGUAGAUAUCGCAAGAACACCAGUGGCGAAGGCGGCUCACUGGUCCGGUUCUGACGCUGAGGUGCGAAAGAGUGGGGAGCAACAGG